rnacentral:tRNA from 1 species
GGGCGAAUGGUGGAAUUGGUAGACACGUAGCGUUCAGAACGCUAUGGGAGCAAUCCCGUGGAGGUUCAAGUCCUCUUUCGCCCACCA